UCCCAGUGACUCUGGCACAAUUCUGACUUCACUUUGUUUCAGUGGCUCCUUAUCAAAGACUGUGGUGACCAACCAUCCCAGAAGAAAGAAAAGCCCCAAACCUGGAACAACCCAAAUGGUGGCUACUCUAGAAAACCGUGGAGCAUAUUUAUCUCUUUCACAUUAAACAACAACAACAACAACUUAUAAGAAUAAAGUGAUUCAGCAGCUAUUGAUAAUGA